rnacentral:rRNA from 1 species
GUCUACGGCCAUACCACCCUGAACGCACCUGAUCUCGUCCAGUCCGGAAAGCUACGCGGGGUUGGGCCUGGUUAGUACUUGGACGGGAGAGUACCGUAGAGGUUACUGGAGGCU